GAGCUUAGAAUACCCAGGUCAGAGGUUUUCAAUGUGCCGCUUGCGGGCCAGUGGCAUCGCACAAAAAUAUGUCGGUUGGACGGCGAGAAGGUACCAUGAAAUUAAUCGCCACUGGAAGUGGUUGAGGCCCGGGACACAGCGGAUGUGUGGCGUGCGCGACGCAGCUGGGGAAGGUGUUGAUUUCCAUUUCGGCGCCCGCGUUAACAGAUUACGCGAGACUGGCGUCUGAGGCGCGGCUCACGGCAGCGGCGCCUCGUCUAGACCAUCGGAGCGACGGCUCUUUUUCACGAGUGCGCACACAGAAGACAAGUCCACGUAUAUACCAGAACCUUUCCAGCAGUUUCCAGGGAGUUAGAAAGCUCAGGUUUGGAACAGAAGUAUGCCUUUUGCUCCCAGAAGCCCACAAAGAGGCAAGAGCUGGAGUGGAAAAACAGUGCCAACCAGUCACAUCAACAACAAGGACAACAACAGAGGAACAAAUGAUGACACAGAAAUGACAUCAUUGGGUCUUUCUCCAAGAGGGUCCAUGAAGCUGAGUUACUACAGACAGGCGUCAGGCAGGGAGGGUCACGCCUUCUCUGGUCCUGUGUCUCCUCUGAGCAGGGACAUGAACAGCAAACCCCAAUAUUACAUGUGAGUCUGGCAGGACAUUUUCAUUACCGCUAGAUGAAUGGAGGAACUUCAUCCUAAUUUGCCUUAAAAAUAACCAAGUGGUAAGGA